UCCAAGUCUGAAUACAUGAUUAUUGUUUGUUUCUGUUUGCUGUGCUAUCAGGAACAGAUGGGAUUCGCCUGCAUCUAUCGACCAUGGCGGACGCUUCGGAAGUCAGUGGGCUGAAGGAAAAAAUAUAAAUAAUUUCUGGAGCCAGAACAGGACUCUCUCCAGGUCGGCAACUGCUCCUGUCCAUCAUCCUCCCUGUCCUGAGGUGGCACUGUGUUGACACCUGGCCUCAGUUUCAGGGAAUCCCCCGAUUGGUGAGCCGGAGAGCAGCCUUCACCGCCUGUCAUAAUGUACCUCUCAGAUGAAAGGCAGCCUGUGAGAGGCUUGGCUCAAAAUAAGCUACUGCUGCAUUGUGGGAAACUCCCUAUGACUCAGCAACACCCCAGUAAUUAUAUAAAAGUCAUUAUUUUUUAGGGGUUGCCAUGCCACGUCUAAUAAUGACAGGGUCCUCUCUGGGUGGCUAGCAGUGAGCAUGACAACUGGGCUACAGUUUAACUGGAACCCGGCAGCCUGACAGACGGCACCGCGGUGACAUGUUAACAGUGAUGGCAGUAUGGCCACUUCUGACACCCCUGUUCUGUCUCUCGGCCUCCCUCGGCGUGUCCUGGAGAUAAACAGCUGAUAAGCAUCGUGAGAGGAGCUGAGAGAGGUUGGAUCAGGCAGACGGGAAAGACGGCCCUGAAUCCCAGGCACGGCUCCAGCCUCCGUGUGACAUCGACGGAAGCGGCGUUUGAACUCGCGCACACUCAGGUAGAAACACACACAAAUUUUAGUGCAGGCGAUCAGAAGAUAGGCCACAGCAUUACACACAAGUGGACUGUAAGCUGCAGCUUGACAGCUCCUUGGCACCCGGCAAGAGGAGGGGCAUCGAAUUACUGAACUCCAGGUGGCUUUGGUCCGCUGGCUAGAGGGUGUCCUUCCUGGACAAUGGCAUCGUCACUACCUGGCAGAGAUGAUCAGAUGAGACACGGGCAGGGGGUCUAUACACCUUACCUCUCCUCCAGGGCUGCGUCUCCGCCCUGUCAUCCGUCGCCGAGCAACUGGCACCGAGGCAGCGAGAAACGGGUGUCUCAUUGCGGAAGACAUGCCUUUACUUUCCAUGGUGGCAUUUCGAAGGCGGAACGGUUUGGUUUUCAGGAUGCAGAAAGAGCAGCUGCUUCAUUGACCCUGGACAGAGAGGAUCUGAAAUGUGCAGAUACAAGCCGAUGGAGACCGAUACCAACCUGCCGAAGGACCAGCCCCACUACACCCACCAACAUGCAACACAUACUGGAAAACACUGGGUAGCCUCUUCAUCGCUGCUGAUGAAGACAGUGAUGGUGGUGUUGUCCGCAAACUUCGCCCAAGUCAAUCUCAAGCUUCGCCAAAGUCAAUCUCCACUUGAAAAUCGUGGUCCGUCCCUCAGUGCUUGGA